UGGACUCCUAUGUGUGUGAGAUGGUCAGG
rnacentral:piRNA from 1 species